UUUAAAACUGAGAUGGGAGAAUGAGCAAAAGAACAAAGGAAGCACACUUCUGAGGCCCAGAGGAGAAGAGGUCUUAAGCAAAUACUAAACUACUGGCUGGCUGGCUGUGAUGGCUCUUCUCUCCACUCGCCCUACCUAUCAUGCGACUUGAUCUCUUGAUCUGCCAAGUUACACAGCCUCUCAUCAGCCUUCUCCCCAGCCUUUCGGAGCUCAUAGAGAAGUGCAGAGUCCACGUAUGUUUAGAGUGUCUAGAAGAUGUGAUGCCUGACUCCUCAUCUAGUCCACUGCGUCCUCCUCCGGGCAUCCUCUGUGGUUACUUGGCAGCUCCCCGCUGGGUGGCACCCUCCAGGGCUUGCGCCAUGGCCCUGGAUGGACAGGAGAGCCUUGAUGGCAGGGCCCUGGGACUCACUUGCAGCCCAGGAACAGCCAGUGCAUCCAGAACCAGCUGACCACCAGCAUGAUGAGGGAGAUGGGGAAGCUGAAGAGGAACCAGGUGCCAAAGUUGACCACUUCUGCUGCUGGAUACUGGCUGGAGGGGAAAGAACCAGAGAUUUCCUUGUGUCUGGUUGAUGAGUUCUGUGCAACAGAAGGAUCAUCUCUCCUCUCUUGAGACUGUCUCCUGGGGGCCAUCGUCAGGGAGGAAGACAGAUGGACCAUUGAAUCAUUCGUGCAGAUAAGCUGGGUGCUGUGAUGGGCACUCUGUCCCUCAGUCAACGCACAACUUGCUCAAGACU